rnacentral:rRNA from 1 species
CCUACGGGUGGCAGCAGUGAGGAAUAUUGGUCAAUGGACGAGAGUCUGAACCAGCCAAGUAGCGUGAAGGAUGACUGCCCUAUGGGUUGUAAACUUCUUUUAUAUGGGAAUAAAAUGUUCCACGUGUGGGAUUUUGUAUGUACCAUAUGAAUAAGGAUCGGCUAACUCCGUGCCAGCAGCCGCGGUAAUACGGAGGAUCCGAGCGUUAUCCGGAUUUAUUGGGUUUAAAGGGAGCGUAGGUGGAUUGUUAAGUCAGUUGUGAAAGUUUGCGGCUCAACCGUAAAAUUGCAGUUGAAACUGGCAGUCUUGAGUACGGUAGAGGUGGGCGGAAUUCGUGGUGUAGCGGUGAAAUGCUUAGAUAUCACGAAGAACUCCGAUUGUGAAGGCAGUUCACUGGACUACAACUGACACUGAGGCUCGAAAGUGUGGGUAUCAAACAGGAUUAGAUACCCCUGUAGUC